rnacentral:rRNA from 1 species
GGAUUAGAUACCCUGGUAGUCCACGCCGUAAACGAUGUGUGCUGGCCGUCGGGUAGCUUGCUAUUCGGUGGCGUAAGCUAACGCGUUAAGCACACCGCCUGGGGAGUACGGUCGCAAGAUUAAAACUCAAAGGAAUUGACGGGGGCCCGCACAAGCGGUGGAGCAUGUGGUUUAAUUCGAAACAACGCGCAGAACCUUACCAGCCCUUGACAUGGAGCGUAUGGUCUUUGGAGACAGAGUCCUUCAGUUCGGCUGGCGCUCACACAGGUGCUGCAUGGCUGUCGUCAGCUCGUGCCG